CUGGACCCUCCUCCUCAAGCCUAGUGCUGGCGUGAAACGAGUAGGUGGGAAUAAAGUCAUCUGGACAUUUGUGAACGGGUAGGGGGAAAAGAGAAGGAAAGGUGGACACUCCUGGCAGGACCUGCGGUCGGGAGAGGGUGGGCUCACCUCGGGCGUGGAGCUGACUUCGUGCACCUGGCCGAUGAGCUUACAGUAGGACUGAAAAAGCAGCAGCAGCUGGAAGUGUAGCUUGUACAACCUCUGACACAGUUCCAGUUGCUAAAGAGAGAAUUUGCAGGCGGAGAAAUCGUUAUGAAGGAUCAUGCUUUAUGUAAUCAAUGAAAUCUUGGUGGAGUCUAACAUAUGUAUAUUUUUUUUAAAUCAAGGAAACAGAACUAGCUGUCACCAUUCUAAAUAAAACAACAAGAACCAAUAACUCUAUCAGACAUUCACGGUAUAGUAUAGAAUAAAACAGUUCCUGGAAGGUGACUAACUAGAAGUCGCUAUGAAGGGACUGGGUGAACUGCCAAAUUUCCAUUGUAUUUGCUACACAUCUUAAUUUUUAUAUGCUCUAUGUUUUUAAAAACUGUUUAUUUGAAAGGGACAACAUUAAGAGAUUCUAGGUAUUAAGUUUAAACAUUCAGCAGACACGUGGGAGGUUAUUCCUGUGCCCAUUCUGGCUGCCACUUAGGGUGCAGGCACUCCUCCUAAAGUCUUAAACACACGCGUUACGUGAUCCUCUAAGGUGCUGCCUCAGUUUUACUGCCGAUGUGUCUACUCAGGGCCCAAUAAAUAUUUGUUGAACUAAAGAGAUAUAAAAAGGGCCCAAAGAACUUAGAGCAAGGAGAAAUUAUGAAACCAUGCAACACUUUCUGUGGAAAGAACGUUAAAAAGUAUUCAUACAAAAUGGCCUUUGAGCCCUAGAGAUACCUCUGGAAUAUAAAGUGAUUUCAUUAAACAGCUCUGUGUACUACAAAGUGAGAAUAAAUCAUGAGUAUUUCUAAUACCAAUGAUUCUACUGCUCCCAGGUAUAUCUGCUUAUCUGCCUCUAAAAUUUGCCUGUUUUUUAAUCCCAAGGAUGGGUUAGCUGCUACGUAGUGGGUGGGAUUCUGCAACAAGAAAAGGACCUAAUCACGUCACUGUUUCAAAUGUGGUCGGGUAAGGAGAGAUAGGGCCUUUUACGAACUCAGCUCACAACUGAGAGCUGUCGAGGGGACUUCAGAUCAGUCUAAGGAGAGAAAUGAUAAGAAUUUGCAUUUAGGUUUUAAGAAGAAUAUUCCAUGAAUGGUAUUAAAUACUUUGAUCCUACUUUUUAGAAGUGACCAAAGUUCAUGCUAAGACCAUGCUGGAGGAAUUUCUCUUUCUUCUCUCCCUUUGCCCUGGCCCCCAGGGGGGAAAAACAAUUCUGAGAUUUUAUUUCUCAGUGCUGGUAACCAGCCUAAGAUCGAGGAAGUAGCUAGACUCACUUGUUAACCCAAACUAGAUCUUUGGUUGUUUUAGUAAAACAUGUUAUGACCAUUUAAGCUUUUCUUUAUGGAACCCUUUCAAAAUCUGGCAUAAAGGAUAACUACCAGAGACUCGCAGACAAAAGAACAAAAGAGUAUUAUUUCAAACCAAAAUGUUAUCGUUCACAAUUGAGAGUGAAACCUAGCCAUGAAAACUCUGACUUUCCUAAGUGUCAGAUAAUCCUAAUUAUUAACUAAAAUAGUCUGCUAAUAAAUAACAUGAGCAUUCAUAGCAACUUAGGUUUCUACUUUGGGAGGGAAGCAGCCCAGAAUGCUAAUACAUUACAUGUCUCAGUCUACCAAAUAAAAGACAAUGAAACAAAAUAGGGAAAACAUGCUAAGAGAUACAACAGUCCCAGUAAACAAAUAAGAUCUGUUAUGGGUCCAUGCCUCAAUGGACCAAGAGUAGGAAAGAAAGUUAACUUACUGCAAGAGAUUCCAUUUGCUACACAGCAAGCAGGGCACGGGAAACGGAGGAAGGAAAGAAAGUACAGGGUCAGUGUGGUGCAUGCGACAGGAAGCGCGGCCCUCCAAGAGCAGAACCGCAGGAUGAGCAUCGCCUGCCCCCACGGCACAAGCGGGCGCACGUGUACCCCCCUCAGCAUGCACAGCGGGCCAGUUAAACACAAGCUCUCGGGGGGAACCCGUCACCGACAAACAGCAUUCGAGGUCUUUUAGAUUCUCUGAUGAGUGGGUUUAGGUUUUGUCCAUCUUGGAGACCAGAAGCGAAAACUUGUACUGCUUGAAGAUUUUAGCGUUUAAACGUGAAUCACGUGUGAGCACAGGGACACGAUGAGACCAGCGGAUCAAUGUGAUAGAACUACAGCCCCCAACAGAUUCGGCUAUUGCUAAAUGUUACAGCAGAAUUUUUACUACGUCUGGUUUCAUACCUACGAAACUAUGUCCCAUUAGCUUAGAAUGUAAUUAACAAUCUGAGUGGCAUUUUCUUUAAAGUCAGAUUGCCUUCUGCGUCGAGAUGAUUUUAUAGGACUGCUAGAUAGUGUCCUUUCAAAGGAGUAAACGCUGUCUUUAUGCUCAAACAAGCAUGAGAUAAAAAAAGGAAUUGCUUGCACUUUAUUUUUUAUAAUCUACCCCCUGCAGCAGACAAUUACUAAAAAUAAUCUAGAACUGACGGUUACUCUAGAAGAAUAUACAGUUUGUAACUGGGCCAUGUUUAAUACUGGCUACCAUUUUUUGGUGUCACCACAUUACAACCAUGGACUUAGUUUCAGGAGAGUCUGGGUAUGUGCAAAGAGAUUACCACAACCUGACAGAAUAUUAAGAAACAUCAACUUAUCCAUUCCUAAUUAUGGGUCAAUAUGUCUGGUUCUGGAUUUUCAAAAUAUUUAAAGACCUAACUCCAUUUCUAAUUCUUCACAACACAAGUUCCUUGUUUUCAAGCUCUUUCCAAAAAAAGUCUAGAUU
rnacentral:lncRNA from 1 species